rnacentral:lncRNA from 1 species
CUUGCACACUUGGGUCAUUCAAAGAGUGGGAUGUGCACACACAAAACUGUUUCAUUGCAGUGGUUGGAGAAGGGCAACAGGUGCGAAUGAUGCUUAAAAAUGCUGGCAGAAAAACAAUGUAGUGGGUCCACUCCAUCCUCCACAAAAACAAAAACUCAUGUGAUGCAUUUACACUUAGCUUUACUUGUUAUUUAUUUAUUUAUUCAUAUAUACACACACAAACAUAUAUAUAUAUAUAUAUAUAUAUAUAUAUAAACACAUAUGUUUUGUGUUUGAAAUAAACGGUUCAAAUAACUUCACAUUUCUUGUUGUGAAUAAAUGCAUUCUAGACUUGUUGCAUCAAAAUUAUAAAC